CCGCCUGCUGAGGCGCGAUGAAAUGGAUAUGCGUGUCUAUGCCACCCGCCGUGAGGAUCCGGCCUUCGCCCGCGAUGACGUCCGUUCCCCCGCCGAUAACGAUGGUCACGCCGGGCUGGAUAUCCGGAUUGCCGGCCUUGCCGAUAGCGGAGAUACGACCGUUCUUGAUGCCGACAUCGGCUUUGAUGAUGCCCCAGUGGUCGAUAAUGAUGACAUUGGUGAUGACCAUGUCGGCGACCUCGGCCGCCGGGCGCUGGCCCUGUCCCAUACCGUCGCGG
rnacentral:sRNA from 1 species